UCCGAGUUGACCCCGGCAGUCUCCUAUGAGUCCCCACCAUCACGUGCUGGCAACAUAGAACGAGGGUUGCGCUCGUUGCGGGACUUAACCCAACAUCUCACGACACGAGCUGACGACAACCAUGCACCACCUGUGCACGACGCCAAAGGCACCCCGUAUCUCUACGAGAUUUCCGUGCAUGUCAAGCCUAGGUAAGGUUCUUCGCGUUGCAUCGAAUUAAGCAACAUGCUCCGCCGCUUGUGCGGGCCCCCGUCAAUUCCUUUGAGUUUUAGCCUUGCGGCCGUACUCCCCAGGCGGGGCGCUUAAUGCGUUAGCUACGGCACGGAUCCCGUGGAAGGAAACCCACACCUAGCGCCCACCGUUUACGGCGUGGACUAC
rnacentral:misc_RNA from 1 species